rnacentral:rRNA from 1 species
CUUGACGACCAUAGAGCGUUGGAACCACCUGAUCCCAUCCCGAACUCAGCAGUGAAACGAUGCAUCGCCGAUGGUAGUGUGGGGUUUCCCCAUGCGAGAGUAGGUCAUCGUCAAGA